ensembl:lncRNA
AUGGCGGAUGCAGGCUUCUGUGCUGCUUCUCCGCUGGAGGAGUUACCGUAGGGCUCGCAAUCUUAUCCACAUACUUUUCGGGGAUUCAGAAGAUACAUUCAGAUAAGGAUAUGACAUCCAUCAUUGCACAUUUGUGCUAUAAUGUCAGAUGGGGUAUAUCUCACCUCCCUUUGGAUCUGAGAAGGCCUGUGACUGCACUGAUAAACAGUGUACAGCAGAUGUGAUGUUCUGCCAGUUCCAUGCUCUGCCAGCUCCAUGCCUAGCUUUCCAGGAGAUACACAACUUGUGUCUUGUUCUCUUGGAGCCCUAAGC